GUGGGGAAUCUUCCGCAAUGGACGAAAGUCUGACGGAGCAACGCCGCGUGAGUGAUGAAGGUCUUCGGAUUGUAAAGCUCUGUUAAUCGGGACGAAAGAGCCUGUUGCAAAUAGUUACAGGUAUUGACGGUACUGAACGAGGAAGCCACGGCUAACUACGUGCCAGCAGCCGCGGUAAUACGUAGGUGGCAAGCGUUGUCCGGAAUUAUUGGGCGUAAAGAGCAUGUAGGCGGGAAUCUAAGUCUGUUGUGAAAAUGCGGGGCUCAACCCCGUAUUGCGAUGGAAACUGGGUUUCUUGAGUGCAGGAGAGGAAAGGGGAAUUCCCAGUGUAGCGGUGAAAUGCGUAGAUAUUGGGAGGAACACCAGUGGCGAAGGCGCCUUUCUGGACUGUGUCUGACGCUGAGAUGCGAAAGCCAGGGUAGCGAACGGGAUUAGAAACCCCAGUAGUCC
rnacentral:rRNA from 1 species